UACGUGGGGUCCGAGCGUUGUCCGGAAUUAUUGGGCGUAAAGAGCUCGUAGGCGGUUUGUCGCGUCUGCUGUGAAAUCCCGAGGCUCAACCUCGGGUCUGCAGUGGGUACGGGCAGACUGGAGUGCGGUAGGGGAGAAUGGAAUUCCUGGUGUAGCGGUGGAAUGCGCAGAUAUCAGGAGGAACACCGAUGGCGAAGGCAGUUCUCUGGGCCGUAACUGACGCUGAGGAGCGAAAGCGUGGGGAGCAAACAGG
rnacentral:rRNA from 1 species